rnacentral:lncRNA from 1 species
AAAUUUCAACAGUUUCUGCUCGAGUUGGGACGCACUUUCUUUGGAGUCCUGAGUACCCUGAGUGAUCUCUACCCGUUCAACCGAGUUUUUCUUUCUGAUGUUGCUCAAAUCUUCCAUCUUUCCCUUGUUCCUGCUUCUAACAGGACUAGGAGGAGGAGUGGGUGGAGGGCCCUUGGAUCUUGUGGAAUACAAUGACGAUGCCAGAGUUCACGAACUAACCUUUGGCGAGG